rnacentral:rRNA from 1 species
AGAACGAACGCUGGCGGCAAGCCUAACACAUGCAAGUCGAACGGACAAUUAUUUAUAGCCUCUGGCUAUAGGAAAUUGUUAGUGGCAGACGGGUGAGUAAUGCGUAGGAAUCUACCUAGUAGUACGGAAUAGCCAUUAGAAAUGGUGGGUAAUACUGUAUAAUCCCCGAGGGGGAAAGAUUUAUCGCUAUUAGAUGAGCCUACGUUAGAUUAGCUAGUUGGUGAGGUAAUGGCUUACCAAGGCUAUGAUCUAUAGCUGGUCUGAGAGGACGAUCAGCCACACUGGAACUGAGAUACGGUCCAGACUCCUACGGGAGGCAGCAGUGGGGAAUAUUGGACAAUGGGCGAAAGCCUGAUCCAGCUAUGCCGCGUGAGUGAAGAAGGCCUUCGGGUUGUAAAACUCUUUCAAUAGGGAAGAUAAUGACGGUACCUAUAGAAGAAGUCCCGGCAAACUCUGUGCCAGCAGCCGCGGUAAUAC